UCUAAAUUCUCUCUCAAGUCAAAUCCUCCAUUGAAGAAACUUUAAGCUCCAAGGAAGAGGAUCAAAUUCCCCAUGUUUUAACCUAAAUUUCGUGGAUAGGUCUUCAAUGAGGUGGUGGCAACUGAGGAUUCCUAGAGUUGAAGCUUGGGAAGUAGAUUUCUCUCAAGAUUGGAUAUGAGUCGAAGGAGGACACCUGCAUGAAGUGUGAAGAAAGGAGUAGUGAAUGAGGGAUUUCCUUCCCUAGACAAAUAAGUUCCUCAAGAUGAAAAAAUGCCUACAGCUAGUUAAGCGAAUGAGGUUCUGGUAGUUCCCCUGGAGAUGACUAAAGAGGAGGUUAAAAGAGCUCUUAUUGCCCUAUACCGAGCCACUUAAGAAUAUAGUGAAGUGGGGCCUAGGGUGAAUUCUCUUGAGAGUACCAUGACUUCUAGGUUGAGGUACUUUGUUCAAAGGUGGGAUAGGAUCCCCAAGAGUUUCUAGAUUGUGUUUAUAAGGUGUUGAAUGCUAUGGACGUGACUUCAAAAGAGAAGGUGGAGUUGUGUUCAUAUCAAUUGAGGAAGGUUGCUCAAGUGUGGUACAUAUAAUGGAAAGAAAAUAGUCCGGUUGAAUCCGAUCCUAUAGAACAAGAUGAGUUUAAGGAAGCAUUCUUAGCAAAGUACUUUUUACGAGAACAGAGAAGAUAAGGUUGAGAAGUUUAUAAGCCUUAGGCAAGGUAACAUGAGUAUGGAUGAAAUUUUCCUUGAAAUUUACCCUAUUGUCUAAGUAUGAUCCAUCUUUAGUGUCUAACCCUAGGGAUGAGAUGAGUAGCUUUUUGACUAGUGUUGCCGACCUUGUAAAAAAAGAGUGUCGUAUGGCCAUGCUCCAUAAUGACAUGACUCUAUCUAGGCUUAUUGUGUAGGCUCAAUCCAUUGAGGAGUCUAAGAUAAAAAGGAGGGGUAGAGGUUUGAUGAGAGGAAGAAUCGACAAGCAAAAUCAACCUAGGUUAAAUAAGGGAGCUCCAAACCAAGAUGUCGUUAAUGCUCUUAAGGUUAACAAUGAAAGGGGUGGUGGUUCUCGAAUUGUUAAGACUACUUGCUCAACUUUUGGAAAGAAGCAUUUUGGGAAUCGUCGAGCCGAUACUAGUGGGUGCUAUGGUUGUAGAAAGAAUGAUCACAAGGUGAUAUAUUUCCCUACUAUUGCUACUAGAGGAAGAAAUGUCAAUCAAGGUCCUUAUAAUAGUCAGGAUGUGGGUGAACAAAAGAAGAGUCGCUUCUAUUCUCUCAAAGCUAAUAAGGAAUCAAAUACGGAUGAAGGGGCCGAUAAGUAAUAAUUCCUUACUUUAGUAAUGAGAUUUUAUAAUAUUGUUCAUUAUAGAGUUGAAGGAUUUUUUCUUCUUUCCUAUUCUAUUCUAGUGGGGAGUAUGGUCAAUAGUUGGGUUGAUGGAACUUGUGUCUUCUUUCCUAUUCUAUUCUAGCUCGAGAUAUAGAAUUCCUUUGUAGCAUGAUACAUGAUUUGGGAAUUUCUUGUGUAAAAUGAUUUUUAAGGAUCCCCUA